UUUUCGUGAUUCGAUUCUCAGUUUUUCUUUUUCUUCCUUUUUACUGAUAUGUCUGGUUUUAUGUUGCAGCACUAGAAGACAGCUUAGUUUCCUUCGAUUUAUGGUUGAUCCGGUAGAAGAACCAGAGCUAAUACGAAGCUCCCAGAUUCUCCAUCUUCGCUCUGACUGAAAAUACCUCACCGCCGAUUCAAAGUUUGUCCGUGUUCUGUUGAUAACAGCCACGCCUACCAGGUUGUUGUGUCUUCUCUUAUCUAAUUCCAGAAUCCACUUCAAUUCAUUCUAGAUUUGUUGAUUGCUUUCGUUCUGUCUUGUUCUGCCUUCGCUGUUAUGUUUUGGAUCGCUAUGCCGAGUCGAUGGAUAUGUCAUUGCACUACAAUUUUGGAAGAAGAGAACGAUGUUCAGAUAUUGAAGUGCAGUCGCUCCAUCGCAACAAACAGAUAACUCACUGCAAACGAAUUCUGAGCUAAUCUCCCUCUCGGUAUCCUCUGUUCUCUCUUGCAGAGUUUUUCCUUCGUUAUAGUGGAAGAACACAAAUAUUCUAUUGCGAAGCGAAGUAAUAAUGAUUGGAUAUUAACGUAACAUUAUGAUGUUAGGAAGAAAAAUGAAAAAUUUCUUAAUAUUGGCUUAGGAAGAAUAUAGGUCGCAUUAAUGUAAAGCUGGUCCGACCGCUUUGGGUCCCUCUUAUUUCCCUCUGUUUCCUCCCACGUCUAAGAGGAUUCAUUUUGCGUGCCCACAGGAAUUUUUUUUUUUACCAUUCUCUGCACUGGAUCAAUCAACAUGGACAGUUCAACGUUGCCUGACUACACUUGUUAGCGAGGACAAUUUGGUUUUAGAAAUUUGGAUGUCCAUGCUGAUUCAUUUAGGCGUACUUGUGCCAAACUAAUUAUCAUUACAACAAAUCCUUGUUUGACAAAAGAUCCCCAUCCUUACUACUUUAAAUGUCUUGUUUUU